rnacentral:rRNA from 1 species
CCUACGGGCGGCAGCAGUGGGGAAUAUUGGACAAUGGGGGGAACCCUGAUCCAGCCAUGCCGCGUGUGUGAAGAAGGCCCUCGGGUUGUAAAGCACUUUCAGUGAGGAAGAACGCCUGGUGGUUAAUACCCAUCAGGAAAGACAUCACUCACAGAAGAAGCACCGGCUAACUCCGUGCCAGCAGCCGCGGUAAUACGGAGGGUGCGAGCGUUAAUCGGAAUUACUGGGCGUAAAGCGCGCGUAGGUGGCUUGAUAAGCCGGUUGUGAAAGCCCCGGGCUCAACCUGGGAACGGCAUCCGGAACUGUCAAGCUAGAGUGCAGGAGAGGAAGGUAGAAUUCCCGGUGUAGCGGUGAAAUGCGUAGAGAUCGGGAGGAAUACCAGUGGCGAAGGCGGCUUUCUGGACUGACACUGACACUGAGGUGCGAAAGCGUGGGUAGCAAACAGGAUUAGAUACCCUGGUAGUC